GAUGAACGCUGGCGGCGUGCCUAAUACAUGCAAGUCGAGCGAACGGACGAGAAGCUUGCUUCUCUGAUGUUAGCGGCGGACGGGUGAGUAACACGUGGAUAACCUACCUAUAAGACUGGGAUAACUUCGGGAAACCGGAGCUAAUACCGGAUAAUAUUUUGAACCGCAUGGUUCAAAAGUGAAAGACGGUCUUGCUGUCACUUAUAGAUGGAUCCGCGCUGCAUUAGCUAGUUGGUAAGGUAACGGCUUACCAAGGCAAUGAUGCAUAGCCGACCUGAGAGGGUGAUCGGCCACACUGGAACUGAGACACGGUCCAGACUCCUACGGGAGGCAGCAGUAGGGAAUCUUCCGCAAUGGGCGAAAGCCUGACGGAGCAACGCCGCGUGAGUGAUGAAGGUCUUCGGAUCGUAAAACUCUGUUAUUAGGGAAGAACAUAUGUGUAAGUAACUGUGCACAUCUUGACGGUACCUAAUCAGAAAGCUACGGCUAACUACGUG
rnacentral:rRNA from 1 species